rnacentral:rRNA from 1 species
UUCCCUGCGGCACAGCAUUGGCCAUAAACCAACGCUUCACCGAGUCUGCAUCGUUUACAGCUGGGACUACCCGGGUAUCUAAUCCGGUUUGCUCCCCCAGCUUUCAUCCCUCACUGUCGAACGUGUUCUGGCAGACCGCCUUCGCCACUGGUGGUCUUCAAAGGAUCAGAGGAUUUUACCCCUACCCCCCGAGUAUUGUCUGCCUCUCCCACUCCCUAGUCUUGUAGUAUCUCCAGCGGUCCAUCUGUCGAGCAGGUGGAUUUAACCGGAGACUUGCUAGAGCAGCUACGGAUGCUUUA